UGUUCAUCGUCCAUUUUCGGAAAAUGUAAUUGUUGUUUUCGACAUGUUAGGAGAGGAGACGGUAUGGUUUUCUAAAUAUCUAUGUUUGUUUUGAUGUUUUGAUACUUGUUGCUAGUGAUCUUGCAAACUGUUACUGUGACUUCUCCAAGUCCUACUGAUAUACCUUGUCAAAUCAGAUGCCCUGUAGUCUUGGUGGAGGCUAAGUGGUAUGCAUUGAAUUCGUAGCUGCUGAAAUUGAAAUUUAUUUUUUCUGGAGUGACACUGGCAAGCGAUGGCAUUGGCGACAGAAGAACUUUGCUUCCUUCCAGGAGAGCUGCAUCACAGUCGGAUCCUGUCCAUGCACAUGCGAUCAUGCUGUAUUGUACUUGUAGACAUUCGGGAGCUGAUUUUGACCCGAGAAAAUAUUAAUUUUUUAAACAUUCAUGAAGAGGAUAUUGUUGCUGUAGCUAGCUGACAGACAUAACCUGUGGCAGUGGUGUAUGGAAUCAGCUUGCAAGGUCUGUAGCAACUCGAUCAUGCAGAGAAGGAGCUGAACUGCUCACGCACUCGCUACUGCUCUCGCAAGAUGAUAAGAUUGGCUUCUCUCCAGUGAUCCAGCCCCCCUCAAAGCAUGGAUCCACUGCACUUUGUCGUCGAACACAUCAACACGCCUGUUGACGUACACUGGGAAAGGUAUCACUUCACGAUGAGGAGCACACAGCACUCGUGGAGGCUUGUGCUGGGUGAGUGGCUUCUCUCCAGUGAUGCAGGCCACCUGGAGGCAUCGGGCCAAGUGCGUUCUUUGCCGCAAGGGCCAUAUCAAAACAGCAACACCAGCAAUGCCACGACUUCCUGACUUCAAGACAACUGGACCACAUCAGUCAUCUGCCAUAGUUGGUGCCGGCUAUGUCGUCCCGUUCUAUGCACGCCAGGGUCGAGAUCGGUCACAACUCAAAGAGAUCUGUAUGUGUGUUUACAUGUUCCUGACUAGGGCUUGUCAUUUCGAGGUUAUCUCUGGACAACGACGGUUUUCUCCUGGCUCUUAGACCCCGAUUCACCAUGCGACGUCGUGUGCCACAAGAGAUGCAAUCGGACAACGGUACCAAUUUUCUUGUUGCUGAUCAAGAGGUAAAAGCAGCUGUCAAGUUUCUCAACUACUCCAGACUAGCAGCAGAAGGUCAUACCGCGACAUUACCUGGUACUUCAAGCCACCAAGUGCACCACACUUUGGCGGUGUGUUCUAGGUAAGGGCCAAGGCAAUGAAACGACUGCUGCAAGAAGACCUUCAGCUGCUAUUGCCACAACACUUUCUCACUGGCCAUGCUAGGGCAACUAUUGCUGCUGAAGCCAACACAUCUACAAUUACUCAAGUUCACCCGAGGAAGUGCUGGGAGUUUGUGCAACGUAUUGUAGAUCAGGUAUGGAAACGUUAGCUGAAAGAGACUGUUCCCAAGCUGGGCAUCCAGGUGAUGUGGUUGCUACAACAGCGUAACGCUAAGAAAGGAGACAUCGUGCUUGUGAUGGAUGAGCACACAGCAAUUGCACAGUGGCCACUUGGACGUAUGCUUAUGACCUAUCCAGUCGGCUCCAGUUACAACUGCCGGUACACAUGAUACAUGAGCUGUCUGACCCCUUUCAUGCAUUCGUAUGCAGCUGUCACCUAACACCGGCACCUUUUGUCAUCUACUAGUAUGUAUCAUUUGCCGCUACGCUAGGAUCGGGAUGGUAGUCUGUGAUCCGUAGGCGUAGAUCGGUGCUUGUUUUCCUUGGUGUGUGAGUUUUAGGUUCCUGCUUCGGUGGUGCAGGUUAUUGGACUUGUUUUAGUUGAGUUAGCUGUUUGGCACGAGAAUGAAAGAGUAAUAACACAGUCUUCUUAUAGUACAGUAACGACGUUACGUUUGUGGAAUGGUGAAUCAAGACGAGAGGUAGAAACAUAUGCUAUAAUGUCCACUAACACCACCAGUUCCUUGACGAUCAGCUCAUGCGAUAACAUUGCACGAAACUGGCCGACAGUACUGAUGUUCAACAACUAACUGGCUAUCAGCUCUAGCAUGUCUUGUAGGUCCUUGGUCCUUUUCUUUCCAUCCAAGUUUUCAUAUCCAAUUGCCAUUGUUUUUGUUGUGUUUUUUCUUCUUGUUGUCUUCGUCUUUUACUCACUCAUGUGCUCUUUAUCACUUUUCCUUCACGAGGGAGGUAUGGUAGAUUGAUUCUCCUAUUUCUGUGUAAUUUACAUGUACUACUGUGUUCGAUGGUGAUGAACCACGAUGCAUUGAUUAUCAUGAAUGCAUGUGACGUGCGUCAUAGAUAGAUAGAUCUGAUUUCUAUGGCUGGCGUCUAUUACGCCUGACUGCUUUCCGCCUUAGGCUUGCAUUCACAACGAAACGUACUAUUAUUUCUUCACGGCCACAUGCAUGUACGAUGCAAUGCUGUUAUGUCGUUGCCUGUUCAUACUGUCCUGGAGCUGGAAGAACCCGCUAGUCUUACUUCUUCUACUUUUAGUUGUUACUAUCUUGCCUAAGUGGGCAGUUUAAAAAAUGUUUGCAGCGGUUGUGCUUCGGUUUAUAGUUAUAUCAAGGAACGUUAGAACAUACGGUUCUCUGUGA